rnacentral:rRNA from 4 species
AACGCGAAGAACCUUACCAGGUCUUGACAUCUCCUGACAACCCUAGAGAUAGGGCGUUCCCCUUCGGGGGACAGGAUGACAGGUGGUGCAUGGUUGUCGUCAGCUCGUGUCGUGAGAUGUUGGGUUAAGUCCCGCAACGAGCGCAACCCUUGAUCUUAGUUGCCAGCAUUCAGUUGGGCACUCUAAGGUGACUGCCGGUGACAAACCGGAGGAAGGUGGGGAUGACGUCAAAUCAUCAUGCCCCUUAUGACCUGGGCUACACACGUGCUACAAUGGAUGGUACAAAGGGCUGCGAGACCGCGAGGUUAAGCGAAUCCCAUAAAACCAUUCUCAGUUCGGAUUGCAGGCUGCAACUCGCCUGCAUGAAGCCGGAAUCGCUAGUAAUCGCGGAUCAGCAUGCCGCGGUGAAUACGUUCCCGGGCCUUGUACACACCG